UGCAAGUCGAGCGGCAGCGGCGGGCGAACCUGGCGGCGAGCGGCGAACGGGUGAGUAAUGUAUCGGAACGUAUCCUUAAGUGGGGGACAACUAGUCGAAAGACUAGCUAAUACCGCAUACGAUCGAGAGAUGAAAGUGGGGGGACCGCAAGGCCUCACGCUUUUGGAGCGGCCGAUAUCAGAUUAGCUAGUUGGUGGGGUAAAGGCCUACCAAGGCGACGAUCUGUAGCGGGGUCUGAGAGGAUGAUCAGUCACACUGGAACUGAGACACGGUCCAGACUCCUACGGGAGGCAGCAGUGGGGAAUUUUGGACAAUGGGCGCAAGCCUGAUCCAGCAAUGCCGCGUGCAGGAUGAAGGCCUUCGGGUUGUAAACUGCUUUUGUACGGAACGAAACGGUGAGCUCUAAUACAGUUUGCUAAUGACGGUACCGUAAGAAUAAGCACCGGCUAACUACGUG
rnacentral:rRNA from 1 species